rnacentral:rRNA from 1 species
AUUGAACGCUGGCGGCAGGCCUAACACAUGCAAGUCGAGCGGAUGAAGGGAGCUUGCUCCUGGAUUCAGCGGCGGACGGGUGAGUAAUGCCUAGGAAUCUGCCUGGUAGUGGGGGAUAACGUCCGGAACCGGGCGCUAAUACCGCAUACGUCCUGAGGGAGAAAGUGGGGGAUCUUCGGACCUCACGCUAUCAGAUGAGCCUAGGUCGGAUUAGCUAGUUGGUGGGGUAAAGGCCUACCAAGGCGACGAUCCGUAACUGGUCUGAGAGGAUGAUCAGUCACACUGGAACUGAGACACGGUCCAGACUCCUACGGGAGGCAGCAGUGGGGAAUAUUGGACAAUGGGCGAAAGCCUGAUCCAGCCAUGCCGCGUGUGUGAAGAAGGUGUUCGGAUUGUAAAGCACUUUAAGUUGGGAGGAAGGGCAGUAAGUUAAUACCUUGCUGUUUUGACGUUACCAACAGAAUAAGCACCGGCUAACUUCGUG